GACCGAGGAGGAGGCCAUCUCUCACCUGCAGCUGCGCAGUGAGUCACACACUCACAUCUGACUAAGAAUCAUGCGCUACAACCGUACAGGAAGAAGUCAGCAGCCAUGCAGACAUAGUUAUCCAGCCACUCUGCGGUGCUUGCACUGUCGCCUCGGGAUGCACUGAUGGUGCCAUGGAAUGGCUUUUAAGCACUCAGUCUUGCGAGGAGUGCGUGCUGAGAUGACUUAUCUCACUGCAUAGGACUUGGGACGACUCUAUGCGCAGGUAACUUUGUGCGGAAGCCGCCGGCGUCGCUGCGGCGGCAGAGCGCGCAGGAGGCAAUGGGCGAUGGAAAGCAUAUGCAGCCGCAGCAUGCUGGCGAAGUGGAGGCGCACGCCUGCCAUGUGCCCGGCCCAUUCGAUGUUGUCCUCAUGGACAUGACUCUGAAUCACCUGCUACACGCCCUCCUGCAGG
rnacentral:lncRNA from 1 species